rnacentral:rRNA from 1 species
AACGAACGCUGGCGGCAUGCUUAACACAUGCAGGUCGAACGGAUGGCUUCGGCCAUGAGUGGCGGACGGGUGAGUAACGCGUGGGAACCUGCCCUUUGGUACGGAAUAACAACGGGAAACUGUUGCUAAUACCGUAUAUUGCUCCGGCUGAAAGAUUUAUCGCCGAAGGAGGGGCGCGCGUCCGAUUGGGAAGUUGGUGAGGUAACGUCUCACCAAGCCUACGCUCGGUAGCUGGUAUGAGAGGAUGAUCCGCCACACUGGGACGGAGACACGGCCCAGACUCCUACGGGAGGCAGCAGUGGGGAAUAUUGGACAAUGGGCGGAAGCCUGAUCCAGCAAUGCCGCGUGAGUGAUGAAGGCCUUCGGGUUGUAAAGCUCUUUUGCCUGUGACGAUGAUGACGGUAACAGGCGAAUAAGCCCCGGCUAACUUCGUGCCAGCCGCCGCGGUAA